rnacentral:rRNA from 1 species
GGCGAACGCUGGCGGCGUGCUUAACACAUGCAAGUCGUACGGUAAGGCCCUUUCGGGGGUACACGAGUGGCGAACGGGUGAGUAACACGUGAGUAACCUGCCCACAACUUUGGGAUAACGCUAGGAAACUGGUGCUAAUACUGGAUAUGUGCUCCUGCUGCAUGGUGGGGGUUGGAAAGCUCCGGCGGUUGUGGAUGGACUCGCGGCCUAUCAGCUUGUUGGUGGGGUAGUGGCCUACCAAGGCGGCGACGGGUAGCCGGCCUGAGAGGGUGACCGGCCACAUUGGGACUGAGAUACGGCCCAGACUCCUACGGGAGGCAGCAGUGGGGAAUAUUGCACAAUGGGCGCAAGCCUGAUGCAGCAACGCCGCGUGCGGGAUGACGGCCUUCGGGUUGUAAACCGCUUUCAGCAGGGACGAAGCUUUUUGUGACGGUACCUGCAGAAGAAGCACCGGCUAACUACGUG